GACAGAGGUGCCAAGCGUUUAGGCGGAAUCACUGGGCUUAAAGCGUGUGUAGGCGGAUCGUUAAGUACCUUGUGAAAUCCCACGGCUCAACCGUGGAACUGCUGGGUAUACUGGCGGUCUUGAGCCACCUAGGGGCAACUGGAACAAGCGGUGGAGCGGUGAAAUGCGUAGAUAUCGCUUGGAACGCCAACGGUGAAAACAGGUUGCUGGGGGGUGUGCUGACGCUGAGACACGAAAGCCAGGGGAGCGAAACGGGGAUUAGAAA
rnacentral:rRNA from 1 species